GACAACAGACAGCAAGAUAAAAUGGAAAUAAAUCAAACGGUUACCUACACUUUAAGCAAUUAAUGUCAAUUAGUAAAAACAUAAAACAAAUUACCAGAUAUAAUAGACUGGUUUAUAGAUAGAAUGAAACUGAAAAAAAAUUGUGACUGUAAAGAGAGGAUCCAUGCUUUAAAUUUACCACAGAUAAACACUUAUUAAAUAUUUUCAAACAAUGGAAAAACAAAUAUUCAUUAAUUUGCCAAAAAUUAAUUGAAACAGACGAAUUUGAUUGGUUUUUGUCAGAAAUAUUUCAUUUAAUUACUACAAAAUUCUUUUUAAAGCAAGAGCAAUAACUCAAUCAUUAGUAUGACAAUCGGAUGAUCUGAUUUAUUUUUCCACACAACGUUUUUAUUUGAUCCUUCCUGAUAAACCUUGAAAAUUUCUAAUAUUUCAACAGAGAAACAUACAUGUAAAUCAGAAGCUGUAAAACAUCAGAAAACAUAGAUUUUCAAACAAAAAUUGAACAAAGAAAACAGAACCUGGGAAGGAAUAAUCUAUUCAAUGACCCUGAAAAAUCAUCAUAAACUUCUAUAUCACCUCUUUACAUUUCAGCACCAUUGUCACUUGAGGUGGAUGGAAGCAUGAAAUUCAAGAUGUCUGCAAAAAGGCAGAGCUAAGAAAUAUUUAAAGAACAAGAAUAGCAAGUUUCAUGUUGGUACUCAAAUUAGCAGAGUCUUAGACUUUUUGUGAAGAGUGUUGCCUCAAGAAUAAUAAUAUUACCAAGAUUACCAAGUGUAUGGAAUAAGUUCCUGUUUCAAAAAUAAACCCAUCACUUAUCUGCUGUACUUUUGAUGGAUCGAAUAAACAAAUGUAAAAAAGUU